GUCGUUUUCCAUGUUGUGGAGGCUUUGUUCUUUGCUGUUUGCAAUAAAUCUUGCUGCUGCUCAGUGUUUGGGUCGGUGCCACCUUUGAGAACUGUAACACACAUGGCAAAGGUCCGUGGCUCUAUUCUUGAAGUCAGCCAGACCACAAAUGCACUAGAAGGAGCUAACUACAGACACAGUAGGGGCAAGAUGGAGUAGAUCUGCUGGUGGUAGAUGAAGUGGAGUUUGAAGAACGUCUUGAAACAAAAGAAUGAUGUAGAAAGUCACAAAAGGACGAAAGCCUGCAUUUUGGCUAAGUGUCUUUGUUGAAGUUGGUGGAAUGAUGCUGACACAGAAUAGAGCCAUCCUCAGCUGCCUUGCUGCAAAGUCCAUUUUACAUGGGAAGGGCCUGGUAUGCAGGGUGAUGACACCCUGAUGGUGGGGGUGCUGGCUGCAUUCUGACUGCCCCAGGAAAAAGAGGAGCAACUUGUUUUCAUUGUAAAGAAAGACAAAACCCGGGAUUGGCCUGUCUUUGAAAGGACACAGGCAAAUUCUGAGGGCUUCAUAUCAGAGCCUUUGCUUCUUGCAGUGACUCCUCUCACCACCUUCCAUCCAUUGUGCGUGUCUCUGAUGCCUUCAGUACCAUCUCCAUGAUCUUCUCCUUUCCAGAAAGAUGGUGGGACUGGAAACUUCAGUAACCCAAACUUUAAUGGAGGUAACAGGCACUUAACAUCAGUGACUUAGGCCUGGAAUAUGAUGGUAAUCUGGAAAACAGAGUGCUAAACGAUUGUGUGAGACCACCCAGAGAAAUGCUCCAUGGACAUAAAGAAGACGGAGAGCUCAGGUCAGGCCUGGCAAGUACACAAGAGAUGGUCUGUGCUGGGGCAGCCCCUCGUCCACCCUUUUCCUUAUGUGUCCUGCAGGCAGCCCCCACCGAACUCUCUCAGGACUGUGCUGGGGCCACUGCUCCAGGUUGACCAUGAGUGGACAGAAGGACCUUCAAAACUUUGCUCCCAUUGCUCUGGUCGUAGCUUCAAAAGUCUCUCGGCUCACCUGGCCUUCCAAAUGUAACAAGGCAAGAGGGAGGUGACUUGAAUCAUGGACGAAGGUAUUUUGGUC
rnacentral:lncRNA from 10 species